CCUACGGGUGGCAGCAGUGGGGAAUAUUGGACAAUGGGCGAAAGCCUGAUCCAGCCAUGCCGCGUGUGUGAAGAAGGCCUUCGGGUUGUAAAGCACUUUCAGUGGGGAAGAAAGCCUUGGGGCUAAUACCCUCGAGGAAGGACAUCACCCACAGAAGAAGCACCGGCUAACUCCGUGCCAGCAGCCGCGGUAAUACGGAGGGUGCGAGCGUUAAUCGGAAUUACUGGGCGUAAAGCGCGCGUAGGCGGUCUGAUAAGCCGGUUGUGAAAGCCCCGGGCUCAACCUGGGAACGGCAUCCGGAACUGUCAGGCUAGAGUGCAGGAGAGGAAGGUAGAAUUCCCGGUGUAGCGGUGAAAUGCGUAGAGAUCGGGAGGAAUACCAGUGGCGAAGGCGGCCUUCUGGACUGACACUGACGCUGAGGUGCGAAAGCGUGGGUAGCAAACAGGAUAGAUACCCCAGUAGUC
rnacentral:rRNA from 1 species